rnacentral:tRNA from 1 species
GUGGAAUUGGCGAAACGGUUAACGCAUCGGAUUGUGAUUCCGACAUCAUGGGUUCGACUCCCAUAUUCCACC